rnacentral:rRNA from 1 species
GUCGAGCGGACAGAUGGGAGCUUGCUCCCUGAUGUUAGCGGCGGACGGGUGAGUAACACGUGGGUAACCUGCCUGUAAGACUGGGAUAACUCCGGGAAACCGGGGCUAAUACCGGAUGGUUGUUUGAACCGCAUGGUUCAAACAUAAAAGGUGGCUUCGGCUACCACUUACAGAUGGACCCGCGGCGCAUUAGCUAGUUGGUGAGGUAACGGCUCACCAAGGCAACGAUGCGUAGCCGACCUGAGAGGGUGAUCGGCCACACUGGGACUGAGACACGGCCCAGACUCCUACGGGAGGCAGCAGUAGGGAAUCUUCCGCAAUGGACGAAAGUCUGACGGAGCAACGCCGCGUGAGUGAUGAAGGUUUUCGGAUCGUAAAGCUCUGUUGUUAGGGAAGAACAAGUACCGUUCGAAUAGGGCGGUACCUUGACGGUACCUAACCAGAAAGCCACGGCUAACUACGUGCCAGCAGCCGCGGUAAUACGUAGGUGGCAAGCGUUGUCCGGAAUUAUUGGGCGUAAAGGGCUCGCAGGCGGUUUCUUAAGUCUGAUGUGA